rnacentral:tRNA from 1 species
GCACCCGUAGCUCAACCGGAUAGAGUAUCCCGAGGCGUCGGGACGGUUACAAGUUCGAAUCUUGUCGGACACA